rnacentral:misc_RNA from 1 species
UUUCCGUAGGUGAACCUGCGGAAGGAUCAUUAUUGUAUACCCUAGCUGCUAGCGCUUUCGCUGCCUCGAAAGCUCUUGCUCCCCCGACUGCCCUCUCACCCCUCCAUCUCCCCCCUUUGUACACCACCUCGUGGGUCCCCAUUUUGCAUGUUCGGAGUGGGGCCUACGUUUUCACACUAUCUUCAUCUGCUCUCUAGGCUGCACUUUUUGUUUUUGCGAUCACGCAACCCAUACCACUUUCACCAACCGCUCUCUUCGCUCUCGCAUCGCUGAAGAACG